AGUUCGGAUUGGAGUCUGCAACCCGACUCCAUGAAGCUGGAUUCGCUAGUAAUCGCGCAUCAGCCACGGCGCGGUGAAUACGUUCCCGGGCCCUUGUACACACCGCCCGUCAAGCCAUGGAAGCCGGGAGUGCCUGAAGUGCGUGACCGCAAGGAGCGUCCUAAGGCAAUACCGGUGACUGGGGCUAAGUCGUAACAAGGUAAC
rnacentral:rRNA from 1 species